ACUCAAAUGAAUUGACGGGGGCCCGCACAAGCGGUGGAGCAUGUGGUUUAAUUCGACGCAACGCGCAGAACCUUACCCAGACUUGACAUCCUUGGAAGCCUGUAGAGAUACGGGUGUGCCCGCAAGGGAACCAGGAGACAGGUGCUGCAUGGCUGUCGUCAGCUCGUGUCGUGAGAUGUUGGGUUAAGUCCCGCAACGAGCGCAACCCCCGUCUUCAGUUGCCAGCAUUCAGUUGGGCACUCUGGAGAGACUGCCGGUGUCAAGCCGGAGGAAGGUGGGGAUGACGUCAAGUCCUCAUGGCCUUUAUGUCUGGGGCUACACACGUGCUACAAUGGUCGGUACAAAGGGUAGCGAAAGCGCGAGCUGAAGCCAAUCCCAGAAAACCGACCCCAGUUCGGAUCGAAGUCUGCAACUCGACUUCGUGAAGUCGGAAUCGCUAGUAAUCGCGGAUCAGAACGCCGCGGUGAAUACGUUCCCGGGCCUUGUACACACCGCCCGU
rnacentral:rRNA from 1 species